rnacentral:rRNA from 1 species
UACGUAGGGGGCAAGCGUUGUCCGGAAUCAUUGGGCGUAAAGCGCGUGUAGGCGGCCCGGUAAGUCCGCUGUGAAAGUCCAGGGCUCAACCCUGGAAUGCCGGUGGAUACUGUCGGGCUCGAGUCCGGAAGAGGCGAGUGGAAUUCCUGGUGUAGCGGUGAAAUGCGCAGAUAUCUGGAGGAACACCGGUGGCGAAGGCGGCAUCCUGGACCGGUAUUGACGCUGAGGCGCGAAAGCCAGGGGAGCAAACGGG